rnacentral:snoRNA from 1 species
CUGACCCCAGAAGUGUUGCAAGUGUGGCUGCUGUGUCACCUAUGCAUCAGUAGGUGGCAGAGGGGAGAGAGGCUAUGUCUAUGCUCAAUGUUCUGACCUAUGAACACU